CGACCCACACAGCCCCGAGCCCUAUCCACGAUGCACACACACCCACGCCCAACCCACGCACACACAACCACGUUGGAUCCCAUCUCUCCCGUCUUCCUCGAUCCCCUUUCUCCAUCCCACGCCGCUGCCAGAUUCCGGCAAACCCCGCGGAAAGCCACGCCCAGGCACUGGUGGUGGUGCACCGCGAGGAGGCCCCAGCGGCGUCGAGCUGCUGUUGCUGCGGGCACAGCGACGUCGGCGUGGUCAGGAUGGUCGCAGCCCUUCAAGAUUCUCAAUGGCGGCAUCUCGGCGCUGAUGGCAGAGUCGACGGCGAGCAUCGGCGGGUACAUGGCGUCGGGGUACCGGAGGGUGGCUGGCGUGCAGCUCUACAUCAACCACCUCAAGCCCGCCCGCCUCGGCGACCGCAUCGAGGCCAAGGUGAACCCCAUCCGGUACCUCCACCCCGACGCGUACUUGGACAAGGACCAGCUGCUGGACGCGGUGCAUUGGAUCUGGCAGGCGGUGAGGCUCGCCUGCGGCCUGCUCUGGGGCACCGUCCCUCUCGUCGGCGCCUUCUGGAUCGCCCUGUCAGUCCCUCCCUCCCUCCAUCCUCAAAGCCCCAACCUUCUUCUUUCCCUUCAGACAUAGGCAUAGAUUCAGGUUCAUUGUUAACUGAAUUCGUAAGCUCAUCUCACACUGAAUUUGGGACCUCUUUCCCAUCGUGUAGUAUAGUACUAGCAAGUCAGUCACACAUGAAUUAGUAGAUGAUCUAGCGAUUCUGUUAACUGAAUUAUUUUAGAAACCCGCUUUGUUUUGCCUUUCAUUGAUCACCGCGACAGGUCACAGGAGGUGAAGUGAGUGUUAAAUUCGCUGCGAAUUGGAGGCUCGUUAGCCUCGUCUCUGAGCACUCGUCACCAGCUCAGCAACAAGCAUCGCAGUGGUUAUGCGCUUUCUCUGAUAUUAGAUGUGACAUGAGCUGUUCAAUCAGCUCUUUGUUUGGCGUGGCCGUCAGCAAACCAGCAAACCAACGCAAUUGCCGCAUAUAUGUAGUGGGAUAUGAACUGCUCUUAGUUUCUCUGUGCUCAUUAUUAGUUCAAUAAAUUGGCAAAUGGCUGCUGAUGUAUGAUUGACUGGCUUUGUUCAUCUUGCUAGAGUUACUUGGAAAUAUUGACAUUCUCAAACCAAAUAUGAGGUGCCCUUUAUUCAGUCCAUGGGAGUAUAUUGCCGUGGAGAUGAAAUAACAUGCUCGUGUACUAAUUGACUAUACGCUAGCCUGGCUUGCCAUUGGAAGGUGGCGUAUGGACUAUGGACUCCUUUUUCUUAAGCUGGCCAUGUGAUUACUUUUGCCUAUAAGCUGGCCGUGUCGUUGGGCGUGUGGACUCUGUACGCCCUUACGCCGCCAUCAAGUUGAGGUUUUGGAUUGGGAGGGGAAGAUGAUCUUCUUUCAGUCUCUGUUGAAGUCAAACCCAUCCAUGCAAAAUCUGUACUUAGUAGAAUUAAUCUAGAUGAAUAUAUAUGCCUUGCAGUUUUAUCGUGCAUGCCAUUCAACUAACUUGCUCUUGUCCAUGCAGACGGAGUAGGAGGACGAGCAGUAGCAGCAAAUCAGUCUGAUGAUGAAGGGGUGCGGGAGGCAAUGGUGAUCAUGCUGAUGGCAUGAAGAAGGCUGAUGACCACAACCUAGACCUAUUGGCAUUUCGAGAUGGAAAACAUAGGCGGCAUGGAGACAACAACCUGGACCACCCACCUCCCUUGCCUUUUUAAUUUUGGUUGUGGUGGUUGCAUCACCGGCGCAGUCGCAAAUCAGUAUGUAGUGUGCUUGUGGUGUUGGGUCUGGACUGUAGUGUCCAUCCAGUAGGUUAGGUGCUUGUUGCUGCUAGAUCCCAUGAUGCUCACCUAAGUUUUGUGUUAUGUGGAGGCCAACCUUUGUGAUCUUAUUUGUCGACACUUGUGUGAUCUCGUCUUACUUUGUGAUACAGGACGUAUGAUAUAUAUGUUUUUAUGGAUGAUCUUGUCUUAUUUUCC